AACAUGUCUUAAAGAUUAUAGUUUUAAGUYUGAUCUGCUCAAUGAAUUAUUUUUAAAUAGCUGCAGUAUUUUGACUGUACAAAGGUAGCAUAAUCAAUAGUUUUUUAAUUUAAAGCUGGAAUGAAGGAUUAAAUAAAGUAAAAAUUGUUUCAAUUUUAAAAUAAUUAAAAUUUUAUUUUUAGUAAAAAUUCUAAAAUAAAUUUUAUAGACGAGAAGACCCUUUAGAUUUUUAUAUUUAUUUAAUAAAUAGAUAUUAAAUAGAUAUUUGGUUGGGGAAAUUAUUAAAUUUAAAAAAUUUUAAUUUUUAAAAUCAAAAAUUAAUGAUCAAGUGAAUUUUAUAAUUAAAUUAAAAAGAAUAAAAUACCUAAGGGAUAACAGCGUAAUUUUUUUUGGAAAGAUCUUAUUAAUAAAAAAGAUUGCGACCUCGAUGUUGAAUUAAGAUAAAAUUUUAAUGUAGAAGUUAAAAAUUUUUGGU
rnacentral:rRNA from 1 species